GCACAUUGCACACUGCACAGUAGGAGCACAUGUUCAAGUCCCAGUCCCAGAACGUGAGAGCUCUCUUUCGGUCAUUUACAUCCUGGGUGGAUUUCGUCCAAAAAUAAAUAACCACAGGGUCGCUCUCUUCAGUUCCCUGGCUGUAGCCUAUAUCUUCAUCCAACCUGAACAGGUAUCGGAUGUGGAAAUGCAAAGACUGCAGCCUGUCAUUUUCAGAACGAUCUGAGCUACUAAAACAUUACCGCAUUGACCAUCGGUUUCACGGUAGGCGCCGUCCUUACCCAUGCAUCCAUGCAAAUUGCCCCUGUUCGUCCAAGACAUGGAAUGGUCUACAAAAACAUCUUACUAGAAAUCAUCCUUCUCAGGAGUCCACACAAAAGGUCUCUUCAUUCAAGUGCUACAUUUGUGACAAUAAUCAGCUUUCCACGGAGUAUGAUUUUUUUAUUCAUAUCAAUCAACAUUUGAAAAAAAAUGAACAAGUCUCUUGUAUGUUUGAUGGUUGUUCAUACAAAACAAACAUAUACAGCAGUUUCUGGACCCAUAAAUGGAGAAAACAUCAGUCAUGCACCGUUAAUGACUUUAAAAGUGGAAUAAUUGUCACAUCAUCACUCUGAAGAAGUACAGCUGGAUGAGCCAACCACUGAUAUCAAACCUCUGUGAGUGUGUGGGAAACAGAGCUCCUUUUCCUGUUCUUUGAGAGAAAACAAUCCAGAGAAAAAUGGCAGGAAACCUCCAGGGCCUUCUGAUUCUGGUCAGUCACCCUAUCUUCUCCCCUGUCCACCUCUGUUUUCCCUUCUCUCAUCUUCUCUUCUCCCUUCUCCACCCUUUCCCCUCCCUCUCUAGCCUUUCUCCUCUCCUCUCCACCGUCUCCUCCCCUCUCAUCUGCUCCUUCUACUCCUUUCCAUUCUCUUCCUCUCCAUCCUCACCUCUCUCCUCCCCUCGCCACCUUGCAGUGCCUGUAGGGAUGAUAUACAGUGUAUCAUUUUAGUCAGCAUCUCAUAGUCCAGGGUUACUCACAUAUUGACUG